UAGCUGUUGCCAUGUCUGAGAAGGCUAGACUUAUUGAUCCUGGGAAUGCAGAGGUUGGAAUGAUUGUAAAUAGCAUGAAGUUAGUUGCACGGGCUCGAGCUCAGGGGAAUGACCUUUUUAAAGCAGGGAAGUUUGCUGAGGCAUCUAUAGCCUAUAGUGAAGGGCUCAAAUAUGAGCCCUCAAACUCAGUAUUGUACUGUAAUAGAGCAGCUUGCUGGUCGAACUUAGGUCGGUGGGCAAAAUCUGCUGAGGAUUGCAAUGAGGCCCUGAAAAUUCGACCUAACUACACAAAAGCGCUGUUAAGACGGGCAGCAUCCUACGAAAAGGUAAGAAAUUUACAUGUGUCGAAAUGUUUCUGAUUAUUCACCUACUGCGCUCUUGACACCUCCCUGUUAACAUUGUAUUAGCUUGAGCGUUGGGCUGAUUGCGUGCGGGACUAUGAGGUGCUCCGUAAGGCGCUUCCUAGCGACGCGGUAGUUGCAGAGUCAUUGUUCCAUGCCCAAGUCGCAUUGAAGACAACCUGUGGUGAGGAUGUAUCAAAUAUGAAGUUCGGAGGAGAGGUUGAGAGUUGAGACAGUUACUAGCAUAUAGCAAGUUAGAGCUGCUAUACAUCAGCUGGUGAGUUUCUUUGUACGGAUAUUUCGUCGGAGCUGUUAUAAUGUUUUCAUCUCCUUAAGUUGCGCUAGUGCUGUGGGUAACCUUCAGGGAAGGAGCUGUUCUUGUUCAGUUAUCCUCAAGCAUUUCACAACUAUCAAUACAAUUUUUUUGCAUAUUACUUAUCCAUAUCCAGUUCACGAGAUGUACUGAACCCUAUUCUCUCCAGAUCAAAUGGCGGAAGGUGUCGGCAGUCCUUGAUCUGCUUCUAUUGUUCUAUAUUGUGUAAUUAAGCUCUGUUUGUUCUCUCAUUUUCUGUGUACCAAUCAGAUCCUGUGGCAUUUUUUUUCUGGAUUUUUGAAGUUUAUAAUCUCAAUCUAUAGUUUUAGAAGAGAAUCAUGUUAGUUUUAGAAGAGAAACAUGUAGUUUUUCCUGGAUUUUGGAAGAUUAUAAUCUCAAUUUGUUCUUUGAUUUUUUUAAGUUAGGAAUGAGGGGAUCAAGAAAAAUGCUGAGGUUUUGAGUUUUGAAGUUUCAUGAGUAUCAGCAUCAAAUCCAUUCGUGAUCAUUUUCACAUCGAAACUGUGCAUGAUCUCUCUAAUGAAAAAAUAUAUCAAGUGAUUUUUAAGGGAAGUUUUUGCUGUAAAAAUAUACUGCGGUACUAUCAAAUGAUCUUUAAGGGAAAUAUCUCCUAAUCAUGUGCUAAUUCAGCUAAUUGGGAAGAAUUUCUUCAUCUGAACUGAGAGUCCAGAGAAGGGGGGGAGUACAUAGAGCUUCAGGCGUUCCGAAGAAGUCCAGACACAUCUGGAAUUUGGGAUACUCAUCCGGACGGCUAACAACAUCCUCCAACGGGCAGAUUUUGAGGGAUGUAUCUUCAGAUUAGAUUUUCCAUGACUAAAAACAGGGCAGAAAGCUUGGAAUUUUUUAAGAAAAAGAAUGCACUAUAUAGAUGCUGACGCUCACUAACACACGCACAAAGGUAGAAACUUGCAUUUGGAAAUUUUCAUACUAAAAAUAUUGCAAUCGUUUCUGAGAUGUGCAAAAAAUCACAAAAUGAGGUAGGAAACAAGUUGGUACAAUACAAGUCAUGUAAAUUGAUCCAUUUGGUGAUUUCUGCACGUCUCGCGAAUUAUCUAUUUUUUUCAAGAAAAAUGCAACUUAAAAAUGUGACUUAUGCCGAGUUAUCAAAAAUGGUUUCACAUACUUCGACAUUCAGUCAUUCUGGCAAUCUCCAAGAUUGGGCCUUGACAUAAAAGGCUUUAUAUACAUACAAACUCUCUGGUCAUUUGUGAGACAACAAAUUGUCUGCAGGCACGUACUAGUACUACCAAAAAUAAAAUGUGUUUGCUUCAUUUAUAUAUAAUAAACAUAUUGAUUAAUUCACCUAAUUACAUGGAUCGAAUGAUUGCUAAACUAAAGAGAAAUUAAAGAGCAGAAGAAUCUAUGGAUCUCAUCGCCAGUAGUGCGGCAAAAAUGACCUGGCAGGCAUCGAUUAGUCACAUGGCCUCCUUCCUGCAGUGCUAAUCUCAGAGAUCAAAUCCAAUUGUUUAACGCUGCAAAUCUUGCAGGCAUGGCUUAGCUUGAGACACAAUGCUACGUUGCUUCCACACGCAGACUAAUCCCUUUCAGUUUUAUUAAAUAAAAUGUCUUCAUGGGGCUUUCCAAAGCUUAAAAGUAUCGUGGGAUAUAUGUGGCGUCCCGUUUGCAUCUAAACCAUUUGAGAUUUGCUAGCUUAAAAUUUUGGUUAAGAUUUAGCUUAAGUUUUGAAAUUGAACAAAAGUGGGAUAUAUGUGAGAUUCUGUUUGCAUCCCUGCUGGGCCUAUUAAACCCGGAAGGUCAAAUCAUGAUGAGAUCACUAGAGAGACUCAAUCGUGUUAACUGCAACAGGAGAUCAAUACCAAUGCCUCCAUUCCUAAACAGUUCUAUGUCAAAAGAUUUCAAGUUUAACUAAGUUUAUAGAAAAAUACACUAAUAUCUACAAUACCUAAUAAGUAUAUAGGAAAAGGGUAUGGUACACCUAAAAGUACGUACUCAAUAUAUUAUGAAGAUAUAUCGCGGCGAAUAAAACUAAAUUAGAGUUAUAUAUGUUAGUAUUUUUUCUAUAAAUUUGAUCAAACUGUAAGAAGUUUAAAUUUAGAACAAAGGUAGGACAUCUUGUAUUUAGAAGCGGAGAAGUAUUUAUAUAUCAAAUCAUACAUGUAUAAGUUAGACCGACCAGACCACAACCAUUAUAUUGUUUUUUUUAAGAGUACUAGCACUGUUCAAGACUGGCUAGGCUAAGCUAGGCACUAUAUAUAUACAUGGCAAUGGAGUACAUAUACAGGUUGGUUUAACACGGGCAGUGGUCUUAUUUAAUAAUUUUUUUGCCGAACCUCGACAAGAGGGCAGGGGGUUCGUGCAGUGCAUUAAAGAAAAAUAGAAUGUCUUCGUUUAUAAGGAAAACCGAGCCGAAAACCGAACAACGUGACCGACCUGGCCACCCACGCACACUCAACACACACUGCAGAAAGAAGAAUACCGCCGAGGUUGUACGCAGAUGUCAUCGUCAUCACACAAACACUCCUCUGAGCUGGCGACUCCGACUUCCCCCACAAACGCCCAAGAACGGGGACUCUACCUUUGCAGGCACGCAAGCACACGCCGGCCCAUGCCAAACAACCGGUCACCCUCGCUAGCGAACAAAAGACGCCGAUUCUGAUAGCAAGCUUCGGAGGGGUAAAAAGCAGGCCUGCGCCGAACACCCUAGAGAACGGACCAUUCCUCCACCGAGUCAUCGUCAUCACACAACACUCCACUGAGCUGGCGACUCCGACUUCCCAACGGCGAAGCAAAACCAACUCUCGAAAGCCAACGGACAUGUCGGAGGACCGACUACCAAUCGCCGCAGCCCAACGUCAGCACAACACACCGCCGUCGCUGCCACACAUGCCGCUAACGGACACCACGCAGACAGGCAGCCCACAAACCACUAGACCCACGGUAGGUGCGAACUCCAAAAGCAAUGCCCCCAAGGAGGAAAACGGCGCCGAGAGCGUCACCAUCGCUCAAUCCAACUGGAUCGCAAGUUUCCCUCGGAGCUCGGUCAGAAGGAGAGAAAAGCAAGGCCGAAACAACGAUGCCUUCAAGAAGGCAACGACGCCCACGGGCAACGCCAUCGUUGGCCCCAACCAAGGCUAGAGCACGUCUUUCGCCAAGGCCACGCCAUUCACUCCUCAAACACGCGGACAGCCAACCUGCAAUGACAACCAGCGCUACGCACACCCACGAAGGAGUGGCACCAGAAGCACAGGGAGCCUGCCGACCGCUGCCGCGUCACCGCCGACCACCAAAAACGUCGCACUGCCACCGCCGCCACAACCACACUCCAGAACCGUCCGGAGCCGACCCAAAGGCGGCUGCAGGGUAGCAGCAGCGUCGCCCCAGCCUUGCCAUCUGCCGCCGCGCCGCGGAGCCGCCCGAAAAGCCACCUCACAGCCCGCUACCUCGAGCGCCGGACCACCGUGCCGCCCACCACCGCCGGACCUCCGGCCCCGGAUCCGGCAACCCCGAGCGCAGAUCCGCAGAGAACGUGGCCGCCAGCGCCCGCCCUGUCCGCGGCCCGCCAGGCCCGCGCCGGCCCCGAACCAGGCCCGUCCCGCCACAGCGGCAGCCCCCGCCUCCAACGCCGGACCUGCACGGCCACCAACGCGUCGCCCCACGCUAGAACCGCCCUGCACCGGCCCCGCCCAGCCGCCUCCCUGCCGCCUCGCCACCCCGUGCAGAAACCGCCGCCUCCACGCGCGAAGGGGAAGAAAACCGCGCAGCCGCCACCUUCCCUGGGCGUGCCCGGCUUCGCCGGCACCCCUCCGGCGGCGGCGAUGCGAGGGAAGGAGAUGGUUGAGGGCUAGGGCCGGCGGCGCCUAGGGUUCCCCCGGGUCGCCAGAGGAGGGCGACACGGGGGUCUAUUUUCAAUCUACUUGGAAUCAUGCAUCUCUGCCUGCCCUGCAUUAUCUGACUGGUCAGUCAGUACCUGGCCUGCAUGAAUGAAGAAAGGAAAAUUUAUUAGCUACAAUGCAUUAAGAAAUGCAUCUGUACUAAGUUGUUAAUAGCAGAAUGUGCACUAGCAGAGAAGAGUCCAGUCAAGGGUAGUAGGUAAUUAGUUUCCAGUAAUGUGGAUUAAGUAGUGCUGGAAAUCUGGUUAGUCGUAAGAACCGACAAAAUUAGAUCGAUGCAUUUUGUUCUUGGUGUGUGUUUUUCUCAUUUUUAUAAUAUUAAGAAAGUGUGAUUCUUUUUAUCACAGAUACAUUUGAUGAAAAAUUUGAUCCUGAAAAUUCUACUCACUCCGUCCGAAAAUCCAAGUCAUUUGUUUCCGGACGAAGGAAGUAUAAAACCACCCCACUUAGUAAAACUACCCCACUUAGUAAACUUAGCAUAAUGACUUUUGUUUAAGAAAGAACUUUUGAACCAACUAAGUUGUUUCUUUCUCAAUCUUGGCCAUAAUUUUGCUUAAAUCCUAUUGCUGAUACUACUUCCGUCUAAAAUAAGCGACCUGGAUUUGUAUCAGAAUUUAUACAAAUCCACGCCACUUUAUUUUGGGAUGAAUGGAGUAUAUUUUUAUAGUCUUCCCCUGCUCCGAGCCUCCGAACGCAGUAACUACUGUAUAUGCUAACUUGCCAUCACAGUAAAACUACGUACUUUAUUUAUUUCAAAAUAUACUUCUACGCUCAAAUAACUUCGAGUGAUUUAAGAGAAAUAAAAAAUAGUAAGUUUUCUUUGAUUUUUCCUUAAAAAACACUUUCCCACUUAAAAAAAUUAAGACUAUAAAUUAGCCCCUCAGACCUCAGUUAACACCACCAAGGCACCAACGCUCGUCCUCUUCUCCUCCUUAUAUUCCUUCUUCCUCCCCCUCACUUCAUCUUCCUCCGUUCUUGCUGAGUACUGUAGCAGUUCCUCUUCUUCUUUCUUCCCCACUCUUGCAUGCCAGUUGCUUGGUCAGCGAGGGGAGCGGUGGUGGCUGCUGCUGAUGCUGUGAGCGGGUGGUGGCACUGGUGAGAGUUGUUCAGCCGGCCAUGUCGUGCACGGAGGAGGCCGAUAGGGUGCGGCUCCGCGCGGCGGUGCUGGCGCUCGACGGGAAGGACAAGCCGGACUCGAAGAAGGACUUCUUCGCGGAUCUCGGCUCGCCGGUGUCGCCGCUGUUGAUGCGUGCCACGCCGUCGUCGUCGUCGUCGUCCGCCGGAUCGGCAAAGUCGCCGGCUUUGUGCAAUGCCGGGGAAGCGGCGGGGGCCGGCGCGAGGGGAGGUGGGAGUGUCAGGAGGACGCAAUCGGGCGAGCUGGCGGCGGAGAGCAACCCGCCGCGGCCGCCCGGGCACCGGCGCUCCGGAUCUGGGCCGCUGAUUUUCUCCGGCGGGGGGAGCAGCAGCUCGGCUGCCGGCGGCAAUGGCGGCGGAGUCUCGAGCACCGCGAGCUCGUCGCUCACCAAUGCGCACCCCACAGGCAACAUCUGCUCCUCCGGCCGUGCCGCGGCCGCGCCCCGACCGCGUCCCCGCCCCGACGUGCUCGGAUCUGGCACUGGCCACUACGGCCAUGGCAGCAUCAUGCGCGGCGGCGGCGGGGCCAUCGAAACUCCUGCGAACUUCCCGCUGGAGAGCUUGCAGGAGGUGACCCGUGCCGGGAACGAAGUGUACAAGCAGGGCCGGUACGGCGAGGCGCUGCGGCACUACGACCGCGCCCUGGCUCUGUGCCCGGACAGCGCCGCGUGCCGCGGCAACCGCGCUGCCGCGCUUGUCGGGCUCGGCCGCCUCGCCGAAGCCCUCCGGGAGUGCGAGGAGGCCGUCCGGCUCGACCCAGCGAGCGGCCGCGCCCAUGGCCGCCUCGCCUCGCUGUGUCUCCGGUGAUUAUCUUGUGAACGCUUAUCUUGCUGCAUUGCAUUGAAAUCCCCAAAUUGGUCCACAGAUCUUGUGCACGCUUAUCUUGCUGCAUUGCAUUGCUUCAUUGCUUGUCACCGUUGCACUGUGUGCUUCCUUACAGAUAGAUCAUCAUAUCGUUGGUAGUGGCCCUUUUGCUUGAUUUGAUCUUGCAGUGACAAGAGUUCAUAUCAUAUGAAUUCUCAGACUGCUGCAAAGGAUGGGGAAGUCUGUAAUAUCCCUGAUUGAUUUAGUUCAGUGAAUUAAUGUGGUUUUAUUUAUUUAUUUAUUUUUGCGCUGGAAAUUAAUGUGGUUUUAAUGCGCUUUGUAUCUCAGAAUGGGUUUAAAUUGAGUGCUUACCCGUGUCGUACAUCAUAUUUAGACCACCGGCACACAGAAUUGCAGACUAGUCGUGAAAUUUCUGGUCCUAAUUUAUCCAUCAAAUCCAACAUUAAUACAUGUGUGUAUAUAUAGUCCAUGUGAGUUAAUGGCUUGAAUUGUUACUGAAAUUGCAUGGUGAUGGUCACAUUGCAGGUUUGGGAUGGUUGAGAAGGCGAGGAGGCAGCUUACGCUGGCCGGGAAUGUGAACGGGUCUGACCCUGCUGAGUGGCAGAAACUGCACAAGGUGGAGAGCCAUCUGGGGAACUGUAUGGAUGCAAGGAAAAUCGGAGAUUGGAAGAGUGCACUGAGGGAAGCAGAUGCCGCCAUUGCCAAUGGAGCAGACUCCUCUCAGUUGGUAACUUCCCAUUGUGAUUUUUGUUACGCGGAAGAUAUACCGUUAUUUUGCUACCAACUUUGGAGUUCAGUCGAUCACAAUCGAGUUAUGUUUCUCCUGCAGCUCCUUGCCUUGAGGUCGGAAGCACUUCUCCGGCUUAACAAACUAGAGGAGGCUGAUUCAACAAUGACAAGUUUGCUGAAAUUGGACAGCGCGUCUCUAUCUUCAGUGUCCACAAAACUGUCAGGAAUGUUAGCUGAUUCAUACAUACAUGUUGUCCAAGCCCAGGUCAACAUGGCAUUUGGAAGGUACAAUUCUAAUACACUUUGAGGACUCUGAUCAAUUUUCUGUUCUGGUACAAGCAUUGAAGCUAGUUUUGCAGGUUUGAUGUAGCUGUUGCCAUGGCUGAGAAGGCUAGACUUAUUGAUCCUAGGAAUGCAGAGGUUGGAAUGAUUCUAAAUAGCAUGAAGUUAGUUGCACGGGCUCGAGCUCAGGGGAAUGACCUUUUUAAGGCAGGGAAGUUUGCUGAGGCAUCUAUAGCCUAUGGUGAAGGGCUCAAAUAUGAGCCCUCAAACUCAGUAUUGUACUGUAAUAGAGCAGCUUGCUGGUCGAAGUUAGGUCGGUGGGCAAAAUCUGCUGAGGAUUGCAACGAGGCCCUGAAAAUCCGACCUAACUACACAAAAGCUCUCUUAAGACGGGCAGCAUCCUACGCAGAGGUAAGAAUUUUACAUGUUUCUGAUUAUUCACCUACUGCGCUAUUGACACCUCGCUGUUAACAUUGUGUUAGCUUGAGUGUUGGGCUGAUUGCGUGCGGGACUAUGAGGUGCUCCGUAAGGAGCUUCCUAGCAACGCAGAGGUUGCAGAGUCAUUGUUCCAUGCCCAAGUCGCAUUGAAAAAACCCCUUGGUGAGGAGGUAUCAAAUAUGAAGUUCGGAGGAGACGUCGAGACAGUUACCAGCAUAUAGCAAGUUCGAGCUGUUAUACAUUCACCUGGUGAGUUUCUUUGUGAGCAUAUUUCGUCAGAGCUGUUAUAAUGUUCCCAUCUCCUUAAGUUAUGCUUGUGUUGUGGGUAACCUUCAGGGAAAGAGCUGUUCUUGUUCGGUUAUCCUCAUGCAUUUCACAAUUAUCAAUACAAAAUUCUUGCAUAUUACUUAUCCUGGACCCUAUUCUGUCCAGAUCAAAUGGUGGAAGUCUUCGGCAGUCCUUGAGCACUGCCGGCCAUGGCGGCGGCAGAUCUGGCUAGGCGGUGUCCGGUGAGGGCGUGCCGGACCGGCUGCCCUCCCCUUGAGCGCGGCCGACCAUGUUCCCACGACGUGCAACUCCACCUCUGCUACUCUUGUUCUAUAUGUGUAAUUAAGCUCUGUUUGUUCUUUUAUUUUCUGUGCAUCAAUCAGAUCUUACAGCAUUUUUUCUGGAUUUUUGAAGUUUAUAAUCUCAAUCUGUAGUUUUAGAAGAGAAUCAUGUUAGUUUUAGAAAAGAAACAUGUGGUUUUUCCUGGAUGUUGGAUGAUUAUAUUCUCACUUUGUUCUAUGAUUCCAAACUUGAAAUCAUGGGUGAAGUUUGUACUCGACUUAUCGAGUGAACAGAAACUGUUGUUUCUUUUUUAAGAUGGACUAUUGCCCAAAUGUGCCACUUCAAAACCCAAGUGAUUUUGGUCCAUGUUGGUGUCGACAACGUUUGGCCAAAAUUGCUCUGCCCUUAAAUCUAAUGCAGUCACAUGGUGGGUCUGAUCUCAUUGAAUGGCAUCUGAAAUACGAAAAGGCUUGCACUUGCAUACGAAAAGCACUGGGCCGUAGAUAGCUGCCACAGGCUACCUUUCUUUAUAGUACUAGGAUUGUAGAGCUUUCCUCUCUCCUUAGCUAUCGGCCCAAAGGUCCCAAGCAAUGCGAUCAGCUCUCGGCCCAAAGGCCCCAAGGCUAUGCCAAGCGCAGGCUAGAUACGAGUUGUUAUGUUGGCGUUCCAGUCUGAUUGCAGUUUUCAUGUUGAAAUCUUGACAGUAUUUUAUCUUGCAAAAAAUGAUACCACAGAGAAGAUGUCUUUCUUCAUUUGAUGUGAUAGUUACGCUGAGUUGUUAUCCCUUAUCAAGGAAUCAAAUCGAACUACCGAAUUGGCUUGAUUCCACCUAGGAAAACAAAUCUUACAUGAAGCCUAUUACAAAAGACAUAUUGAAGCAGUGACAGGGAAACGAAUGAUCAAGACAAGAUACUAACAUUCGAAUUGAGAAAAAUAAAAUACACAACACAACGUUGUAUUAGUUACUUCCAGGUAAGUCCAUCGUCCAACAUGGGCUGUAGGGAAAACAAACAUCUAUAUCAUUGUUAGUAGGCAGGAUCGGUCGUUCAUAUUGCCAAUGUAUCGGACCUUUGAGCUAUUUAAAUGAUAGGCAAAUACUGAAUUUGUAUAUGACUCGUCAUGAAAUAAGACAAUUUCUUUGUAAGGAUGGAGCCCUAGACAAAAAAGAAUAUCAUAAGCUCGCAAACUGGGAGGGCACUUUUUAGUGCAAUCUUCAACAGCGACAGCAUUUUCGUCGUCCGAGUCCCACUGAAAAUCAUCUUUUGCUAGGGCUUCGUUGUAUUCAUUUAUGAAUUUAAGGUUGACAUCAGUCUUGAGCAACCACCCCAUGUCAUCAUUCUCAUGCAUGAUCCAUGGCCCAUUGUCAUGAAAACUCCUUGAUAUUGACUUAAGGUUGAUUUUAUCCUUAAACAUCCACUCUAACGUGCCGCAGGUUUUUUCAUAAAGAAGCCAAAUCUGAAACUUGCAUCGUGGAUAGUCCACUACACAGUAGACCCUCUUUCUUUGAUUUUCCUAUACGAUAUGCACAUCUUUUGGCUCUGUUUGGCAACUCAAUUAUUUGGUACUUGUGAUUCGUCAAGUUUACUCUGGAAAAAUCAAAUCACCGCCAAAACAUUAAGAACCCAAAUUAUAUAUAUUGAUAAGUAAAUAAUUAUAACAAAAUGUUAUUAACUGAUUGUAUAUUUAUAUGGUGUUUGAUCUGUGAGUAGAAUGGUACAUACCUGAGGACCAAAUUAGCUCUUCUGUGCACAAAAGGAAGGUAGAGUGAGCCGUGCCAGUAUAAGCUGCGCAGUACAAAUCCCUAUCAGAAUUACGACACGAGAGCACGUCUUGGACCGUCCCCGGGGCAUCAUCCCCUUGUCGCACGAACGACCUCUCCGUCCAGCACUUGGUCUCCGACGAGAAGACAUGGAUGGCGUACCGGGAAGGCGGCCACUCCGUGGCGCUGGACUCGCUGGCGGGCAGAUCACGGGGAGUGCGAGGGACGAGGAGCACCUCGUAGUGCGGCUCCGGCGGGUGGCGAUGUUGCCAACGACGAGGUUCCGGAGCAGGACGAGGCCGUUGCAGCAGUCAAGGACCUCGUCGUAGGCCGGGUCCGGGUGGUCGGAGUCGGUGGUGUAGUUCAUGCUCGAUCACGGCGUUGGCCGUAGGCCGCCAGGCGAAGAGCGCCAUGUCGGAGUCGUUCUUGUCGUAGAUGACGCCGCCGAGCGAGAGCGGGAGCAGGUCGGCACGGAGGAGGCGGUGGUCGUCGACGACGGCGCGCCAGGCCUUGCAGACACCGCGGGAGACGGCGAGGGCGAGUGGCGGGAGGUGGCGGAGGAUGUCCACCACCAUGUCCCCGUGCUCCAGCAGCUCCUUGCUCCAGCAGCAUGUUAGGAUAAUCUUGAGUUUGAGUCUAGCUAGGUGCAUGUGUUUGUGUCCUAAUCAGAUUAGGGUGUGUCUAUGCGUGAGUCAGUGUUCGUGUGCAUGUGUGGUUCAGCAUGGGUCUCUGUGUUUGAGUAUGAUUAGUAGUCUGUGUGGUGUUAGACCUCUUGUCCUAGUCGUGUUUGAGUCAUGUAGCUAGCUUGGUUCUGUGUAUAUAUACAGACCAAGGCAGCACGUUGUAAUAAGAUCGUGGAUUUGAGAGAAAUAAAUAAAGAGAAAAUAGAGGGCACGAUGCGUGCCUUUGGCCAAAUGAAAUCGUUUGUGCGUGUGCGUAUUCAUGUGAUUGAUCUUUGGGCAAACCCAACAUUUGGUAUCAGAGCGAGGUCUAAGAUUUGAAGACGUGCUUGCCCCGGGGAGGCAAUGUGCUAGCGCCUCAGGGCGGGCAACCGUGGCGGAGCGACUUCUGCGGAUUGAAGCGGUCAAUGGGCGGAGUGGCGUCUACAGAUCAAAGCGGGCGAUCUGCGGUUGUGCAACGGAGCAGCGUGGAGUGGAUUGGAUCGAGUUGUCAUCACGGUGGGCCGAUCUUCUAGUAACGGGAGAUCAUAAUACUGAUCGCCGGAAAGUACUCGGCAUCAGGGCAAACUAUCGUCGGCAAGCUCGUUGAAGAGUUAUGUGUGUCCAGAUCAGCGUCUGUGAGUCGUGGUUGUGUCCAAGUGCUCGUCAGUGUGAGGCUCUAUUGCAGUGGAAGCAUGUCACGGUCGAAGGUUGUCCGGUAUGUGUAACAUACCACUUUCAUCAUGCUUGUGAAAGUGUGUUGUUACUUAGGAUAAUUUAGUUAGGAGAAAAAAAAUUCACCAAAAAUAAAUUAGUACUAUAUAUAAUUUAUUUUUGCUUGGUGAUUGUUUGUUUAUGUAUUUCGGUCAGGGGCAAGAGACAACCCAAUUGACCCUUGCGCAUCAUCUAAAAAACUCCAACAAUUGUGUCUCUUAACUCCAUUUUAUCCCAGCCAUUAAUCCUUUAAAACAAAUCUCUUUAUUGCCCUUUAUAUUCCCUCGUGGAACUGCCCUCACGCCAAAGCAACCACCCAGCCUCACCAUUUCACACAUCGCACCAUUCCUCUGCAUUCUCCAUUCUCCACCGAAGGACUCCACAGCGAAGCACUGAAGGAGAUCAAUCACCAGGAAGAGAAGGCCAAGUCACACCAACGAGGGGCUGCAGACUUUACUUGAUCGACUACACCAGCCGCCCAAUAUUCAUUUCUCUUCUAUCAACUUCUGUUCAUCGAAUUGGUGAGCUAGUCCAAUCCACAUCCCUUUUGAAUGAUUCUCUACGCAGACAAUCAACAGUUCUUGUACAAUUCGGAUCCCAUUUGUCCUACCACCCCAAAACCUUUGUUCCAACUUCUGCAUUUUUCUCCACCGAACAAAUACUUCUUCCAUGCUUUCAUGAUCAUCUCUAGGUGUCAUUGGUACUGAUUAGAAGUCCCGAAUCAGUCUCCUACGGAUUUGGAACUCAAAAUCUCAAACACAAAUUCUUGCAUAUAGAGCUAAUUAGACUGAUUCCAUCUUUUUCGUUAGAAUUUCUUUUUGUAUGAAACUUGCUGCAUAUUAAAUGUCUAACAUGUUGUAUCUUUAGUUUAGUUUGCAUACAAUUAAUAUCAUAUUUUUCUGACUAGUAGAUUUGAAGGUAUUGAAAUGGCAAAAUCAUCAUUUUAUGUGGAGUAGACACAUCGAUCAUAGUUUUUCUUGCUCUGUAAAAUUUCGCACAAAUGUUUAUAAAAUCAUGUUAGUACCUAGAUUUACUUACAUUCAUGUUAGUCAAACAUUCAUAUUUGAAUCCUCAUUUUUGGGUAAGUAUUUUGUUUUCUAAAAGACAAAUUUUGCAUUCUAGUUAAUCUGUUUGACCUGAAAAUUCAUAUGCAUGAAUUUCACAAAAAAAUCCAUGUCUAGACAAAUUUUGUUUUCUAAAAAUCCAUUACAUGUCAUCUUAGAUAUUUUUAGGAGUAUUCUGAACAUGCUAGUUAAUUCAUCCAUAUCUAUGUGAAUGCUGCAUGUAUUUUUGCUUUGCACAGAUUAAUAAAAAUGGUCAUUCUUGCAUAUGUUUGCCGUGUCCUAUUUUUAGUGGACUAGUUUUCUGUUGUGGAUUACUCAUAGUAUUUCUAGCCUAUGCAGAAUUGUACCGCUGUAUAAAUGUUUGUGAAGUGCUGAUUUGUGUGUUGCUCUUUAUUCGUUCUAUUUGGAGUUUCUGCUAUUUAUUUAUUCGCUUAUACUUAUAUGACAUAUAGGAGGAGAGGGCGACUUUGGCUACGGUUCAGCAGGUGAAGGAGAAGACAUCCACGCUGAAGGUGCCACCACAUUUUUCUGAUCCUAUAUUUUCCAAAAUGAAUCAUUUACUUAAAAUUGCAUUAUGCUUUUGAGUCAAACUAUUGAUGCCUAUCAUCAAUUAUGAUGCCAUGCCAUGUUACCUACUGUUAGUAGCAGAAUCUUAACCUGAAUAGUUGAUGCUUAGCCAUGCUUAAUAAUUUAGUUCAUAUUCUUUGCAAGUAUGUAUUGAUGGUGCAGGACCAUCAAGAGUGAGAAUUGUUCAAUUAAAACUGAAUUAUUUUUGAGCAUGUUGGAUGCUGAGUGUGUUGUCGGACUUGUGCGACAAGUGCCGGCCGGUUUUAAACUAUUCUGGUUAACUUACCAAGGGUAUGGCGGCAUCGGAUGAUUGGUGGAGUGGGUUGGAGUCCCUCGAGUGUGUGGUUUGCCGUUGUACCCUAUAAGGGAAAAUGCCUGAUUUCCGCUUACUUCACUAUACAAGUGCAACCACAUGCCUAAAUAGGUAAGGUGUACCAACUAGGUUAGCGUGAAUUGAUGGCGUCUCAGCCAAGUGGUGGAUUGGGUCUCGUAGAGACUUGGGGGACUUGCUAUCCCAAGCGGUUGCGGCCGUGUUUGGCGCAAGAGGGGCCUUUAGCGGGUGGACGUACUCACCUCUGACUGGGAAACCUUAGCGGGCUGAGACAAUACUAAGGAUCGUUGAUUGAAAGGUCACGUAAUCAAUGCCAUUGCUACUCAGGCCAGAGGACAGCAAAGGGGUAACACGUCGGUUUCAUGUCGGUCCAGUGUACAAACUCUGCAGAGUCAAAACUAUUCGAAUAGCCGUGUCCGCGGUCAUGGACGAGUGAAGUGGCACUUUGGGUUAUCUACCUGUCAUCUCUCUAUUCUUAGGGUUGGUGUGUGUGAGUGUGUUGGGUUGACAACGGUCGAUUGUGCCGCCGGGUCAUGAGGAUCCCGCUGCUUAUCCGGUGUCGUUGUUGAGCGGCAUUGGAUGGAUACUAUAUAAAUUGUGUGUUAAAUGUUUCUAAAACUUUUUAGAGAAUUGUUAUAAAAUUGUGUAGACUUAGUUGCUGAUUUUGCAAUGACAAACAAACCUCUACCAUACAACCUCAUAUAGAGUCUUGCAUAAAAUUAAGGUUAGGGUAGGGUGGAGCUGAGUACCAUGAGAAGUACUCAGGUGGCCAUUUCUUUUAUGUUGUGAUUAUCAGGAGCAACAGGUUUCGACAGUGAGUACGACGAGGAGUACUAGUGACGGCGUUCUGGACUUACUUCGACUUUGCUUGUGGAGUUGGCGCCACACCAUGCUAUUUAUUUUUAUUUCUAUUUCCGCUGUGUGAACUCUAUUAUGUCAUUUAUGUAUUGAACCAUAUGUUCAGGAUGAUGUAAUAAGUCACUUUUAUUUAUAAUGCCACGUGUGUUUGAUUAACCACUUGUAUCAUUUACUCAUGUAUGCUGCUGAUCCUUUGGGACAUGCUUGAGUACGGUGAAUCGCUGGUCUAUUUGUGAUCAGGGGUCUUACAGUAUGGUGUGUCAUUGGAGCAAGAGAUCGACGUGCGUGCAGACGAGGUGGCAUGUGGUCAUCUGCGUGUCUCGGCGAGAAGAUCAAGUUUGGCGUGUAGUGGGACCAAGACCAGUUUAGUUGAGUUCCUGCGUGAGAUUAAUGGUGUGUCUAAUCUGCACGUAGCACGCGAGAUGUGUCCGCAUGGGUUGGUAGUCCGGAUCAUGCGUUGAGUUGAGACGACGAGUCAUGAAGCUAAAGAGAGAGCCAAAAGCAGGGGGAGCAUGGAGGACGUCAACUUCAAGAUUAGGGGGAAAUUGUUAGGAUAAUCUUGAAUUUGAGUCUAUCUAGGCGCAUGUGUUUGUGUCCUAAUCAGAUUAGGGGUGUGUCUAUGCGUGAGUUAGUGUUCGUGUGCAUAUGUGUGGUUCAGCAUGGGUCUCUGUGUUCGAGUAGAAUCACUACUACAGAAAACCCCAUCCGUGAUCCCCCUCCAGUGGCGGUUAAAACGGACCAAAAAACACACCGCCAUUGGAGGCCUCUCGAGGCAUCCAUGAGCGCCACCAGUGGCGGUGAUAAUCACCGCCACUGCUGCCCCACCACCAGUGGCGGUGAAUAUUGUCCCAAAACAAGUCACCGCCACUGGUGAUGGAUCACCAGUGGCGGUGUUUGUCACCGCCACUGGUAAUGGCCAUGGAAACCCUAACAACCACCAGUGGCGGCCGUAAAAAAGACCCGCCACUGGUGGACCACCCGAUACAUGAUGGUACUACUCAGUCUCAGUGCCCUUCCCUAAACCCCUUAAGCACCGCCCGAUCACUCAUUUAGAACUCAACCGGAACGGGGAACGCACCGAGCACUGAGUAGUAACCACUGGUAGGUGGGGCGGCGGAAUUUCUUUUAUGCUGGUCAGAACUCCUCUAAACUAGCGAGGUGGGACUAAACAGGGGAAACUGGUGGGAGAGCACCAGUGGCGGGCCUAAUGUUACCCGCCACUGGUGAGGCCUCCAGUGACGGUUUAUUUUUCCGCCCGCCGUUGGAGGUCACCAGUGGCGGUUUAUCCGUAAACCCGCCACUGGUGACCUGUCUAUAUAUAACCCCUGCACGAGCCCCAGCUGGUCGAGCUCGCGCGUCUGUCUGGACCAGCUGCGGCUCUCUCCUCACUGGCGCCGGCGAAACCCUGCCAAAAUUUGAUGGCGGCAGCCGGAAGGUAGCUCUCCCCCCUUCUCCUUCCUCUUCCUCUCCCUUCUUCCUCCUCUUAUUCUUCUCCAAUUUUGCAAAAUGGCCAUUAAUGGUGCCUUGGCCGCCGCUGGGAAAUUUGGCCCCGAUCUCUCUUCGGCGGCUCUCCCGGGCUGCCCCCGCUGUCUCUGGAGCUCCCCUUCACCCUAGUGAUGAUCCUCCCUCUCUCUCUCGCUUUAAAUUUGCUCGGAUGAGAGCUCCCUCUCUCUCUCUAGCUCUCUCUCUAGCUCUCUCUCUCUCUAGCUCUCUCUAUAUAUAGCUGCUUAUGGGGGAGCUUAGCCCCUGGGGGUUAGCCCUAGGGUUAAGCUUAACCUCGUGAUCGGUGUACGUGCAUGUUCAAACAUACUAAAUGUGUGUUGACACCGGCCUUCGUGCAGUGUAUUUCUUAUGUGAUGUGAUACCGGCCGUCGUGCCGAUGUGGGUGGGGGUAAUUUGUUUUUGAUGCAGGCAUCGAAUUUCGUAGUGCAAAAUGCUAUUUUUUUUUUAGCAAAGGUCAUGCCAAAAUUUUCCAUUUUUGUCGAUCAAGCUGAUUUGUUUAUUUUUUAAAAAAUUGUGUUGUAGCUCGAUGGGCCGUGCUUGGAUGUACGAGGACAGGUUACUUGUUGAGUGGAUAGAGCGGCUGAAGACUUUUGUCAAUGCCGGCGUGGAAGAUAUGCAUAGGAAAGGGGGUGAUAAGAUGUGUUGUCCCUGUGUGAGAUGUCGGAACAGCAAGCUGUACGAGCCAGAGGAUGUCGAGAUGCACUUGCUCAUGCGGGGAUUUGUGUCAGGUUAUUCAAGGUGGACUUCUCACGGGGAGGAUGGCAUUGAAGUCGAUGACGGCAUUGAGAUGGAAAACAUGGAGUCUGACGACCAGCCUGGUGAAGAAGCAUACCGUGGCGAGGAUCCAGUACAGGACGUUCCAACCGGUAGGAUGGUUGAGAUGCUGGAUGAUCAGCAUCUGCAGAAUCAGUUGGAUGACCCCGAGGAUGAGAAAGUGUCCCGUAAGUUCGAAAAGCUGAGGGAGGAUGCCAAGACACCGUUAUAUGAAAAUGCCAGCGUGGAUAAGAGUGUGCUAGAAGUAACGCUCGAGCUUUUGCGUAUAAAGGCAAAAUACAACAUCGUGGACUCGGGAUUCACGGAGAUUCUGAGUUACCUACGUACGGUACUUCCUCCGGGCAACAAGUUGCCUAAGAGCACGUACGAGGCGAAGAAAGUUACAUGCCCACUCGGGUUAGAGGUCAUCUGAUACCAUGCUUGUCCGCUGGACUGCAUCAUAUAUAAGGGCGACUACAAAGACAUGCACAUCCAGUAUGCAAAACAUCCCGAUACAGGAAGAAAGACCCCAAUCCUGACGGCGGCGAGGAGGAAGAAUUGAAGCGUGGUGCGGCGGCAAAGACGGUCUGGUAUCUCCCUUGUGGCACUAGGCUGGAGCGUUGGUUCCAAAACGAGAAGGAGGUCAGGUGGUUCAUCUACCACGACGCGACUCAGGCGGAUAUCGAUCCUGAGGGCGUGUACCGCAACGAUGAUGGAGUCCUCAGACACCCCGCAGAUGCGGCUCAAUGGAGGACUCUGGACGAUGAAUUCCCCGAGUUCGGCGCAGAGCCCAGGAACAUCAGGUUCGGGAUGAGUACGGAUGUGAUCAAUCCGUUCGGAAACUUGAGCAGCAAACACAGCACAUGGCCGGUGAUCCUAUUCAUAUACAACCUCCCCCCAUGGCUUGUCAUGAAUAGGAAGUACAUCCACCUAUCAAUGCUCAUAUAGGGCCCUAAGCAGUCUGGAGCUGAUCUGAACGUGUAUCUGGAACUGCUAAAGGAUGAGCUCAAGGAGCUUUGGGAGAAGGGUCGAAAGGUUUGGGACGCUCAUAAGGAGGAGUUCACCCUUCGAGCAGCUCUCCUGACAUGUGUGCAUGACUACCCGGUGAACGGGAGCUCAUCGUGCCAGUCAACACAUGGGUACAAAGCGUGCACAAAGUGCGGAGAUGAGACAGAAGGGUUGUUCCUGCCAGAAUCAAAAAAGAUUGUGUACAUGGGACACCGUAAGUGGCUGGAGAUGAAGGACCCGUGGAGGGAUGAUAAGAAAAACUUCAACGGGAGGGCAGAGAGGUGGCACAAACCGAGGGAACUGACUGGACACGUAGUAUACGAAAUUGUCAGGGACCUUGAAGUCGUGGCCGGAAAAGCACAACCAGCUGCUGGUCCAGAUGGUGGCCAUACGUACAAGAGGAGGUCCGUGUUCUGGGACCUGCCUUACUGGAGGUUCUUAUAGAGCCGUCACACCAUAGACGUCAUGCAUGUCGAGAAGAACGUGUGCGACAGCCUGUUGGGCUUGAUGAUGCACCACGCGGACAAGUCAAAAGAUGGACCAAAGGCACGGAAGGACCUGUAGUGGAUGGGGAUAAGGGAGAAGCUGUGGCCGAUAGAGGAAGAGGCGCCGCAGGAAAACAAGGAAUGUGAACGCAUGAUAUAUACGCGAUGCAAACCUGCGUGUUACAGUCUGAGCAAAGCCGAGCUGCAUAGAAUGUGCGAGGGUCUCCAUGGCAUCAAAGUUCCAUCGAACUACUCAUCCAGCAUCAAGAAACUCGUUGACAUGAAGAGCCACAAGCUGGUUGGCAUGAAGUCUCAUGACUGCUACGUGAUUCUCACGCAGCUACUUCCGGUUGCAAUAAGAGACUGCAUGGAGCCAUGGGUGAGAGAGACGGUCAUGAAGCUCUGUGACUUCUUCGACACGAUCGGCCAGAAGUCCAUCACGGUGGACCGUUGCUUGCAACUGAGGGACGCAAUGAUACAGAUAUUGUGCGAAUGUGAGAUGUUCUUUCCCCCAACGUUCUUUGACAUUAUGGUCCAUCUGAUGGUCCACGUCGCCGAUGAGAUCUUGUUGUUAGGGCCAUCGUUCCUGCACAACAUGUUUGGGCCCGAACGAUAGAACGGGGUGCUGAGGCGAUAUGUUCGUAAGAGAGGGCGUCCCGAAGGAAGCAUCAUGGAAGGCUAUCAUGCAGAAGAGUGCGUUGAGUUCUGCACUGAUUGGUUGGCGGACCGCAAACCCGUAGGGGUCCCCGAAUCACGACAUAAGGGGAAGUUAGAAGGUGAAGGUGGGCUUGGACGGAAGGAGCUUGAUGUGCAUGCCCACCAAAGAAUGGAUGACUUUAUAAGAGCACACACAAUGGUGCUACAACUCACGCCAGAGGUCGAGCCGUUCAUCGACAUGCACAUCGAAGUACUUCGAAACCUCAACCCUAAUAGGAGUGAUGAUUGGAUCCAGCGAAAACACAAUUCUACAUUCACCAUGUGGCUCAAGGAUCUUUGGUAUCCGAGGGCUGCGGCGAAUGAAGAUGAGAAGAUUGUCCAGAAGUUGUCACGGCUUCCCGACCGCAACGUCGUGACAUACCAGUCAUACGCAAUGAAUGCGUAUACGUACUACACCAAGGCUCAAGACCGUAAGAGUACGUACCAAAACAACGGUAUAGUGCUCGUAGCUGAGACGGGGACCAACAGCGAAGGCCAGACUGAAGCGUACUAUGGCGUGGUCGAAGAGAUCUGAGAGCUUGACUACACCUUCACCACCAUUGCCAUGUUUCGCAUCAGAUGGGCACGCGAUGUCAGGCAUGAAGAUCAUUGGUUCACAACAAUAAUUCUGCGAAAAGAGAUUCCCUGUCAUCAGGUGAACGUCAAAAGAAUCUCGGCACUGCAUAAACCAUGGCAGUUUGCUUCCAAAUGCAAACAAGUCUUCUUCGUAGAAGACCCGAUAGCGAAAAACCGCGUAGUCGUGAGGAGAGGUAAAAGGAGCAUUGUUGGGGUCGACGGAGUAACUUCACAACAAGACUAUGAAGGUUUCCCCGAUCCCACGACCAGGCAACAACAAGAGGUGGCAAGACGGACGAUCCAGACAAGAAAAAAGUCAAAAUUACCCACACAAGACGGAGCCUACACCAGAAGCAGCCACGAUGAGGUCCAAACGUAUAAGAGGAAAGAGAAGACAACAAAGAAGAAAUACAAGAUUGUCCAAUACUUCACUAUUUGUGUAAUUUUUAAUGUAAUUUGAAUUCUAACGAGGUUCGAAUCUUAACUUGUUCAAAUUUGAAAACAAAUGCCGUAAAUUUGUUCGCUAUGCUCGUUGAUGAUUUUCAAUGUAAUUUCAAUUCUAACGAGGUUCGAAUCUUAACUUGUUCAAAUUUGAAAACAAAUGCCGUAAAUUUGUUCGCAAUAUUUUUCUACUGUGAAUGCAUAUUUUAUUUGCUUGUUUCAUCAUUAUAAAGGAGAAAAAAAAGUUUUUAAACCCGCCCGGGUCAACUAGGCUGUUCGGGUUCGGGCCCAGCCAGGCGAACCCGGGAGCAGUCUACUACCUACUAGGCCAAAGCGGACCCAGGCCCACGGGCCAGGCGAGGAGCACAUGAGAUAAGUGAGAUGAUUAAUCGGAAGCUGAUGGGAGAAGGGAGGAAAGCCUUAUAUGCUGGUCGAACCGCUUGUAAACUAGCGAGGUGGGACUAAACUCCCACCUCGCCUCGCGCAGAGCCCGCAGAAGGACACCAGUGGCGGUUAUUACAAGGAAAACCGCCACUGGAAGGGGACCAGUGGCGGUUAUUACCAGGAAAACCGCCAUUGGAAGGAACACCAGUGGCGGUGAUUUCCGUGAAACCCGCCACUGUUGCGUGCUACCAGAAAAGGAGGCAAAAAAGUUUUUUAGCCCGCCCAGUCAACCAGGCUGUUUCGGGUUCGGGCCUAGCCAGGCAAGAACCCGGGAGCUGCCUACUACCUACUAGGCCAGAAGAGCACGGGCCCACAGGGCUAUAAUCCGAGCCCACUAGUGCACACAGAGGGUACCGGGCCCACAGGCCAGGCGAAUGGGAGUAGAGGAGAGAGCGGCAUUUGAUUUUAUUCGGAAUCUGCAAAGGUAAGGGGAGGAAGCUAUUUAAGCUGGUCGAACCGCUCGUAAACUAGCGAGGUGGGACUAAACUUCCACCUCGCCUCGUGCAGCAGCCCGCAGAAGGGGUACCAGUGGCGGUGAUUACAGGUAAACCCGCCACCGGAAGCAGCCACCAGUGGCGGUGAUUUCGCUGAAACCCGCCACUAGUGAGUGCUACAGGACUUGGGAUUUCCCAAACUUCUCCAAAUCACCAGUGGCGGUUAUUUUCCUGAAACCCGCCACUGGUAAUGAUUUCAGAAUGCUCUAUUAUAAUCCUAUUAUAUUCUCUGCGUUUCCAAAAAAUAUAGCAGUUGUACUUUUGGGUGUAUAGUAAUAUUGUUUGUUCCCAAUACAAGUUUUAGACAUUAAUUCAUAGUAUUUCAUACAAAUUUCUGUGAUUAUGUGUGGCUUUGGUGCUAAUUUAAUUCCAUAAAAUUCAAUUUUCAUCAAAAUGAGCUGAAACUUGGCAUGGGAACACCUCCCAGUCUAAUGAAGCCACAUGAAAAAAAAAAUCAAGCCCAAAGUUGUUAUAAUGUUACAAUUUGGAUGUUGGCUUAGAAGGUAUCAGAGAUAUUUACCUAAAUGAUCCCAAUAUGUUAUUCUUAUGGGCUUCAUUUGGAAUUUUGACACAAAAAUUGUUAUUCUUAUUGUCGUGUGAGAAGCCUCCAUGCCAAAUAUCAGACCAUUCUGAGCAAUUUUGUAAUUUAUAACAAUUUUUAACCACGGUAAACACUACAAAAGCAUAAAUAUUUCAAUUUCAGCAAUGUAUUUAGCAUUGAAAUAUUUAAUGAGACAAGAAAUAAUUAUUAUACACUUGAAAGUACAUGUGCCAUAAUUUUCAGAGAGACACAGAAUAUAAUAAAAAUAUAAUACUAGAACCAAAAUAAUAACUAGUGGCGGGUAUAUACAAUACCACCGCCACUAGUGCGUGGAACAGGGAUGUGGUUAACCCUCACUCCUGUUCCAAUUACCAGUGGCGGGGUUUUCACAUACCCGCCACUGGUGGGUCGCCAAUGGCGGGUAUCCGAAAAUACCCGCCACCGGCGGUCUCCUACACUUGUAACCCUAGGAAGGUCUCCAGUGGCGGGUAUCCGUGAAAUACCUGCCACUGGAGACCCUCCCCAUAUAUAUUACAGGGCGAGACUUCGCCAAAAUUUUGUAUUCGAGACGCACCUCCGCCCCGGCCACCUCCGCCCCAUCCACGACCCCGACCGUCUCCGUCGCCCCGACCCCCGCUGUCGCCGCCCCGACUCCGGCGACGGUAUGGCCUCUCUCUCUCUUGCUGUUAAUUAGUGUUAGGGUUUAUAAUGUUUUAAAUUUGAAGUUAAUUAGGCUUUUUAAUGUUUAGUUCAAGCUAUUUAGGGUUUAAAUCUUGCUGUUUAUGUUUAGUUCUAGUUACUUAGGAUUUUUAAUGUUUAGUUCUAGCUAUUUAGGGUUUAAAUUAAUCUUGUUGUUUAUGUUUAGUUCUAGUUACUUAGGAUUUUUAAUGUUUAGUUCUAGCUAUUUAGGGUUUAAAUCUUGUUGUUUAUGUUUUUUCUAGUUACUUAGGCUUUUUAAUGUUUAGUUCUAGCUACGUGGUUGCUGUUUAUGUUCGUUAUUAUUGCUCUUGGUGCAAAGAUUGAUACACGCAUGUGAUCCCGACCAUCGUGUCGGUUGAUAUGAGGAAUUUGGGCCCGGCCAUCAUGCCGGGUCGUUGAGAAGGGUCCGGUUCACGUGCCGAGGGGGUAUAUGUGGGUGGGAGUUUUUUUUAUGCAGCUAUAACAUUGGGGUAGACUCAUUUGUUGUUUUACAGCUAUGGUCAUGCCGAAUUUUUCCGUUUUUUUAAAUUACUUUUAUAAGUGUUAGAUAGGAACCUCAGGCUCGCGUUGAAGAGGUGCCUGAGCAGCCACCGGUUGUGGAGGGAGAAGUAGAAGAAGAAGCGGGGGCAUCUUCCUCGGGCUCGGAAAUUGCCAUGAGCGAGGAGCAGUUGUUCCUUGAAGGAGCCGAGAAGCAGCAGCUCCUUCAAGGAGCAGCUACCGAGGAAGAAGCCCAAGGUGUGACGUCUCAGGCUACGGAGUCGACUACUCAGUCGAAGUCCAAGCGGGGGGCGAACAAGGUGCCGACGGAGUCGUGGGUCGUCACCAAGCUGAGCAAAGAAAACUACCCGGAGGAACCGGUGGAGGACGCAGAAAGAUUCUCCAACACAUGCAAUGCCAUCGUACGGGUACGUGCUCGGAUCUUUCAAAGAUGGAGCGACGUCCCGGAAGCUGUGAAGCAGGACUGUUACGAGGCGGCAUGGAAGCGGUUCGUGCCUGCCAAUGAUGAGAUCAGGAGACGGUUGGAGUGGCGGAUGCACCAAGUCAUGAGGAAGGGCCAGAGCACGUGGCAAUAUAACUGCCGGAAGCUCAUCGGCAAAGACUGGAAGACAGAGGUGAACAAGCACUAGAAGGGGAUCUCGGAGGAGGACUGGGAGAGGUUCAAGGAGUGGGUCAGGUCAGAUGAAUUCAAGGCCAGCAAAAAAUGGUACAAGGAGCUUCGUGAGAAAAGGCCCUUCGACCACCGCCUCGUCAGUCAUGGACACCCCGGAAAGGAGAAGGUGUGGGCGAAGGAGGACGCCGCAUUGGACCAAGCCGGUAUACAGCCGAGGGUCCCAACUUUGCUUCGCGGUGAGUGCUCCAGCGAAUGGCUGCGGUUGUCCAUGACCGCAAAUCAGUGGGCGGCCCUGGAGCCUAUGUCAGAGAAGCAAGAGGCUGCACUCGUAAGGCCUCGUCCUGACAUCUUCUUUUAUCGGUUGGGCUUCUUAUACUCACAUAUAAGAUUAACACCGAGCAUGUUGUUUUUUGUAUACAGGGUGCAAUGGCAGAGUGGGAGUCGGAUGGCUCCCACUCGUCUAUCAACCAACAGUGGGAUGAUGCCAUCAGCUACGCUCUGCAACGAAAUGAGCACGGGGGCCAUAUGCGAGGUGUCGGUUCCGGGCCCUUUCGCAGACAGAUGGCGAAAGAGUAAGGUUUCCGCAAACGCAGAAGGGCGUCCAGCAAAGAACAGAGCUCAGAGGAACUAGAUGAGAAGAUCCGAGUGUUGGCGAGGGAGGAGCUCAGGAAGCUCAUGCGGCUUGCAAGGGACCAGCGUGACGUCGACAACUUCAUCGAUCACGGUGUUUUCCCGGAGGCGCCCAUCCAACCAACCCCACCCGCAUCGGAUCCGUCCCCGCCGCGGAAUAAGAGCACCUCAUGCUCCGGCACCGAGUGCCAGCUUGACCCGCUUGGGCCACCCGACGAGAACCUCACGGUAAGCGUCUUCGCGCGCUACGAAAAAUUGUGAAAUACCACUAUCAUGCUCCAAUCCAUUAAUGAUGUUGCCAUGUUUGUCAUGCGCAGAAGGGCGUCAAAUGCCGGCUACACAUGCCGACGGUGGGGAACCCUCUGAGCGCGCGCGGGUUGCUGAUGCCACGUACGGCCGUGGUGCACCACGUGACCCUGCGAGACGACAUGGUCAGGGUGUAGGUGGACUCCGUGCUCAGGGGCUUCGAGGACGAACCAGUCCCUUAUCCUCCGCAAGAAGAGGAGACGACCCUAAGGGAUUGCGUCAACUCCUACCUCAUCUGGCCUAGGAGGUUGGUGGUCCUCGCUACGGAGCCGUCUCCAUCUCCGUCCCCCCGCCUUGGUCCGUCUCCACCCACCCGGCGCGUGACGUCUCCGUCGCCGCUUGGCGCCUCACCCGGUCCUUUUGACUACGAGCCCGCGGAACGAGACUUCUCACCUGCGGCGGAGUGCAGCGACAACAAUGCAGGCGAAAAUCCUCCGUCGCCGCCCAAACCCGAAGCCCCGAAGCCAUCCGCACCAAGACCCGUCCCUCGGAGAGCCGCAGCACAAUCGGCCCCGUUGGAGAGCCGUCCAAGUGCCCUUGCUGGGAUGUAGGUCCCCCAGAAACCGGACAGUUCCGAUUUCCUGAGACACAGGAAAAACAAAAGGGGGACAGGCGGCAAGGCAAGCAAGGGCUCCUCCAAGGAGGGGAAACAGUCGUCUUUUACGGGAAGACAACCAAAGACCGCGCCGCAGAUAGAGGAUUUGGGAAGAGCGGCCAGAUAUUCUGAAGAUGCCCACCCACCCCCGCGUUGGAGAUAGAUUGCCUGAUGGGUCUUAUUUCGUGGACAGGCGAUUCUCCCAAUUUUUGUUGUUCCACCCCGGACAACCGAUGGUGACCCAGGAUGACCUGUAUCGCCUGUCACGGGAGAUGCAAGAGCUCCAUGAAAAAUACAUGAAUGUGGCAUCAUCAGGUGCAGACCUCCAGAAUUUGGAAAUCAGGGUUCGAGUGCCAAAGCAUUAUGGCUUCUUCGACUCCAAUACGGGGGAAAUCCAGAAGGAAAACGACGAUACCUUCGGCAUUGACUUCCUCGACUUGUUUCACCUCUUCAACCACAAGUGCUCGACAACGCCAUAUUAAGAGUGUGGUGUGUACACUACACGAGGGAAGCCUAUAGGGUGAAGCAAUAUGGGAUGGCCAUCGCCGACCCCCUUCUCUUCAACGCACUUUGCUUGGUCCAGACCCAUUGUUGGCCGAAAGUAGAAGGUUGGCGAUUGAAUACCUCACUCAAUUCAUCUUGAAGCACAGAGACCGCCGUUUCGUAAUGAUAUUGUACCAUCUACAGUACUUUGUUUUCAAUUCGCGUGAAUACAUAAAUCUUUUUCCGUCGGAAGACUUGCUUGUUAUAUUAUUUGGCUAAUACAAUGUGUGUCCUUUUGUGAAACAGCGGCCAUUGGGUGACAAUCGUCAUCUGCCUCGAUAUGGGAGGGGUCACAUAUUUUGAUCCACUGCGACGCAAGGGGAAUGAACCACAACGCGACUUUGGGCUGAUCAAAAUAUGCCAUCGACUCAGCCUAUCGUGACGCGGUGAAAUGGUACGGGAUGAUUGGCUUCAGCCGCAAUCCUGACGCUCCCCUCAGGCACACUUUCAACUUCCCCUGCGAGCAACAGCCUGAAGGAUCCGUCUACUGCGGUUACUACUGCACGACACUAUUCAGCAGAUGAUCAACGACUUCAAGCCGAAGGGGAAGAAGACCUUCGAAGAAGUGAGGAAUUGGUUUCUGGCCAACGCCAAGUUAGGGCACAACUCUGAAAUUCUCGUGUACGAGAUCCAAAAGGACAUCGGCGAAAUUCUCAACAAGGAGGUCCUCAAAUCGAGCGGGAAUUACUACGGCGGCGGGAUUGUCGCCAAAAGUGGCUAAAUUAUGUGGAAUACUUUUAUUUGUGGCUCAUUCUUUCAAACACUUUGUAUACACAUGCAUGUGACUUGAAUUUUUAACUCGUAUGGAACUUUGUAAUAUAUUUGCUGCUAUUUCUGUCUCUUUGGUGUUGUAUGUUGUGCUGCUGUAUUCCUGGUAUUAUGUGUUGUGCUGUAUUCCUGCUAUUUCUGUGCUAUAGGAAUAUUUAUUUUUGUAAAUAAUUCAUUUAUUUUUUUCGAAAAAAAAUAGUACCAGUGGCGGUUAAAAGCAACCGCCACUGAACACAUAGCAGUGACGGUUAGACACCACCGCCACUAGAACCUUUUCCAGUGGCGGGUUCUUCGCUGGCCACUGAUGUACUCCACACACUUUUCGGUUGGUGCCGGAGGGAUUUACAAUGGCGGUUUGUGGGUCUUCGGUGGCAGGUAUUUUACCCGCCAUUGGUGAUCUCGGAGCAGCAGUGGCAAGUAUUUCACCCGCCACCGGUGCCAAAAUCUCCAGUGACGCAGAGUUGGUGGCGGGCGUGAUCACCGCCACUGGAGGGGUUUUCUGGAGUAGUGGAUUAGUAGUCUGUGUGGUGUUAGACCUCUUGUUCUAGUCAUGUUUGAGUCAUGUAGCUAACUUGGUUCCGUGUAUAUAGACAGACCAAGGCAGCACGUUGUAAUAAGAUCGUGGAUUCGAGAGAAAGAAAUAAAGAGAAAAUAGAGGGCACGAUACGUGCCUUUGGCCAAAUAAAUCGUUUGUGCGUGUGCGUAUUCAUGUGAUUGAUCUUUGGGCAAACCCAACACAGUAGACCUCUAUUCAAUCUUGAUUGCUUGCUUGCUUCGACAUAGUCCAUACAUUUUGUUGUUUGUGUGUCUUUCACUACAAGGAUAUCAUAACAGAGUCAAUGCAUCUUGCUUUUUUCAGUAGUUAAGUUAGACUAAAUUAAAAAUAUGUACACAAAAGCAUAGUAUUAUUUUAUAUAUUUAGAAAACCGAACCGAGAGCCUCACCGGUUCGAUCACCGGUCCAGUUUUUAAAACCGUGGACGGUUGUUGUGCGCUGCCUGGCGCUGGAGUUGCGCCGUUGCGGCACGCCGGCGAGGUGAAGUACCGCUGGAGCGCUAGAAAGCCAGAAAGGGUCCAAGCAGGGGAGGGAGUUGCGCCGUUGCAGGCGAUUUAGCGCUGGAGUCCUGCUUUCCCUGAGAUUACGAGCAUGCAGUGGGGAUUGGUGAAUGCGAUGGGGUCUCUUGUGGGCUGGGCCGGGGACAGUGAACCCCGUAAAUGGGCUCACGGGCUUUCUAGGUUAACUUUGCGUGUGGCGGGUUUGUGCAUGUAGGAAGUUCGGUUAUUAUGAGCUAGUUCAGGUUUCUUGUUAUCAAACCGAAUCCGAACCGAAAACCCAAAUAGACUAGAAAAGUAACCGAACCCGGACACGAAACCCGAAUAGAUCAACAAUUCGGUCUAUAUGGAUUAUGUCCGGUUCCACCCCUAAGGAAGGCACACGAGUUUCCUUAACCAAUGGUACUUCCCUUGUUUUUGUUAGUAGCAAUUUAAGCUAGCUGUAUAUGCCAGGCUCGACCCAAUGAAGGUGUCAAAAAGAGCCACUGCAUAUUUAAUAAUUAUUUGACGUCUGUGAAAUUGCUGUAUAUGCAUGCAUGUAUGGCAAUGGCCAGCUCAACCGUACCUGAGGGUCACAAAAUAUAGAGUUAACUCCUAAAUGUUUAAACACGGAGUUAACUCUAAAAUGGAGUUUCCCUUUAUAGAAGAAUGCAUGUAAGGCAACCGGCCGAGGCAAUUCUUUGAGCGUAAUGUACCAUAUUGACCGUUAAAGCUGGGCAUAAUCUUGUUUUUUUCUUUAAAAAAAUAAGCAACUAAGUUUUUUUUAAUUUUGGCCAUAAUUAUGCUUAUUUCGCUCGAAUGUCAUUAUACGCGACAUUACGACAAAACUACACCCUUUAUUUAUUUCAAGAAUAUACUUCUAAGCUCAAAUGACUCUGAGUCAGGGAGUUUCAAUAGAUCAGUCGAUUUAGAAAUUUGAAACAAAUAAAAAAAAGUAAGGAAUGCUCUUUGAUUUCUUUUCCUAAAACAGAUACACUUUUCCCACUAAAAAGAAAUUAAGACUAUAAAUUAGCCCCUCGGUUAACACCACCAACCCUCUCCCCUCUCCUUCUCCUUCCAUUCCUUCCUCCCCCGUCACUUCAUCUUCCUCCCUUCUUGCUGAGCUUCUUCUUCUUCCCCACACUUGUAUGCCAGCUGCUUGGUCAGCGAGGGGAGCGGUAGUGGCUGCUGCUGCUGCUGUAAGCGGGUGGUGGCACUGGUGAGAGUUGUCCGGCCGAGGCCAUGCAGUGGACGGAGGAGGCCGAAAGGGUGCGGCUCCGCGCGGCGGCGCUGGCGCUCGACGGGGGGGACAAGCCGGACUCGAAGAAGGACGUGUUCGCGGAUCUCGGGUCGCCGGUGUCUCCGCUGCGGAUGCGUGCCACGCCGUCGUCGUCGUCUUCGUCAGCCGGGUCGGCAAACAAUGCCGCGGAGGCGGCGGGGGGCGGGUCGAGGGGAGGUGGGGGUGUCAGGAGGACGCACUCGGGCGAGCUGGCGGCGGAGAGCAACCCGCCGCGGCCGCCCGGGCACCAGCGCUCCGGAUCUGGGCCGCUGAUUUUCUCCGGCGGGGUCAGCAGCAGCAGCUCGGGGGCCGCCGGCAGCGGGGGCGGAGGCUCGAGCACCGCAAGCUCGCCGCACCCCAAUGUGCUCCCCACCCGCAGCAUCUGCUCCUCCGGCCGUCUCGCGGCCGCGCCCCGGCCGCGCCCUCGCCCCGACGUGCUCGGAUCUGGCACCGGACACUACGGCCACGGCAGCAUCAUGCGCGGCGGCGGGGGUGGGGCCAUGGCGACUCCGGCGAGAAGCAGCGUUGACUCCUCGAGGAAUCCGGCGAGCUUCCCGCUGGAGAGCUUGCAGGAGGUGACCCGUGCCGGGAACGAGUGGUACAAGCAGGGCCGGUACGGCGAGGCGCUGCGGCACUACGACCGCGCCCUGGCUCUGUGCCCGGACAGCACCGCCUGCCGCGGCAACCGCGCCGCCGCGCUCGCCGGGCUCGGCCGCCUCGCCGAAGCCCUCCGGGAGAGCGAGGAGGCCGUCCGGCUCGACCCGGCGAGCGGCCGCGCCCAUGGCCGCCUCGCCUCGCUGUGUCUCCGGUGAGAUUAUGUCGCUUGUGUAUACUAAUCUUGCUGCAUUGCACUGGAAUCCCCAAGUUGGUCCACAGAUCUUGAUUUUGUCUUGCUUCAUUGCUUGCUACUGUUGCACUGUGUGCUAAUACUUUCUGACAGAUAGAUGUCAUAUAGUUGGCAGUGGCCCUUUUGCUUGUUCUGGGAGCAAAAGUUUUGAUCUUGCAGUUACAAGGGUGUAUCAUAUGAAUUCUCAGACUGCUGCCAAGGAUGGGAAAGUUUGUAGUAUCCCUGAUUGGUUUAGUUGAGUGAAUUAAUGUGUUUUUACUUUUUAAUGCGCAUUGUAUCUCAGAAUGAGGUUCAAAUCGAGUGUUUAACUGCGUUGUACAUCGUAUUUAGACCACAAGCACUCAGAAUUGCAAAUUCGUCAUGAAAUUUCUGGUCCUAAUUCAUUGAUCAAAUCCAACAUUAAUACUUUGUGUGUAUAUAGUCCAUGCGUGUUAAUGGCUUGAAUUGUUACUGAAAUUGCAUGGUGUUGCAGGUUUGGGAUGGUUGAGAAGGCAAGGAGGCAGCUUAUGCUGGCUGGGAAUGUGAACGGGUCUGACCCUGCUGAGUGGCAGAAACUGCAUGAGGUGGAGAGCCAUCUGGGGAAAUGUAUGGAUGCAAGGAAAACCGGAGAUUGGAAGAGCGCACUGAGGGAAGCAGAUGCUGCCAUUGCCAACGGAGCGGACUCCUCUCAGUUGGUAACCUCUGAUUGCUUGCGAUUUUUGUUAUCCGGAAGAUAUGCCGUUAUUUUGCUAUGCGUUAGAGUUCAGUAUGAUCACAAUAGUCAUGUUUCUCCUGCAGCUCCUUGCCUUGAGGUCAGAAGCACUUCUCCGGCUUAACAAACUAGAGGAGGCUGAUUCAACUAUGACAAGUUUGCUGAAAUUGGACACCACUUCCCUAUCUUCAAUGUCCACCAAACUGUCAGGCAUGGUGGCUGAUUCAUACAUACAUGUUGUCCAAGCUCAGGUCAACAUAGCAUUUGGAAGGUACAAUUCUAAUACACUUAGGACUAUAAUCAAUUUUCUGUUCUGGUACUAGCAUUGAAGCUGGUUUUGCAGGUUUGAUGUAGCUGUUGCCAUGGCUGAGAAGGCUAGACUUAUUGAUCCUGGGAAUGCAGAGGUUGGAAUGGUUCUAAAUAGUAUGAAGUUAGUUGCACAGGCUCGAGCUCAGGGGAACGACCUUUUCAAGGCAGGAAAGUUUGCCGAGGCAUCUAUAGCCUAUGGUGAAGGGCUCAAAUAUGAGCCCUCAAACUCAGUUUUGUACUGUAAUAGAGCAGCUUGCUGGUCGAAGUUAGGUCGCUGGGCAAAAUCUGCUGAGGAUUGCAAUGAGGCCCUGAAAAUCCAACCUAACUACACAAAAGCACUCCUAAGACGGGC
rnacentral:lncRNA from 1 species